AGAGUUUGAUCCUGGCUCAGAACGAACGCUGGCGGCGCGUUUUAAGCAUGCAAGUCGAGCGGCAAGGGCCUUUGGGCCCCUAGAGCGGCGGACGGGUGAGUAACACGUGGACAAUCUGCCCCCCGGCCGGGGAUAGCCCAGGGAAACCUGGAUUAAUACCGGAUGAGACGGGACCCGCGGAGGCGGGAUCCGGGAAAGGCGCUGCGGCGCCGCCGGGGGAUGAGUCUGCGUCCCAUUAGCUAGACGGCGGGGUGAAGGCCCACCGUGGCGACGAUGGGUAGCCGGCCUGAGAGGGUGGACGGCCACAUUGGAACUGAGACACGGUCCAGACUCCUACGGGAGGCAGCAGCUAAGAAUCUUCCGCAAUGGGCGAAAGCCUGACGGAGCGACGCCGCGUGAACGAAGAAGGCCGUGAGGUUGUAAAGUUCUUUUCGGGAGGGGGAACAACCGUGGCAGGGAAUGGCCGCGGGAUGACGUGAAUCCCGGAAUAAGCCCCGGCUAACUACGUGCCAGCAGCCGCGGUAACACGUAGGGGGCGAGCGUUGUUCGGAAUCAUUGGGCGUAAAGGGCGUGCAGGCGGUCCUGCAAGUCCGGCGUGAAAGACCCCGGCCCAACCGGGGGGGCGCGCUGGAAACUGCAGGGCUUGAGUACAGGAGGGGAUGCCGGAAUUCCAGGUGUAGGGGUGAAAUCUGUAGAUAUCUGGAAGAACACCAAUGGCGAAGGCAGGCAUCUGGCCAUGUACUGACGCUGAGACGCGAAGGUGCGGGGAGCAAACAGGUUUAGAUACCCUGGUAGUCCGCACAGUAAACGAUGUGCACCAGGUGGCGGGGGGUCGACCCCCGGUACCGUAGCCAACGCAUUAAGUGCACCGCCUGGGGAGUAUGCUCGCAAGGGUGAAACUCAAAGGAAUUGACGGGGGCCCGCACAAGCGGUGGAGCAUGUG
rnacentral:rRNA from 1 species